GGCCGCCUGGCGAAAUGGCAUCGCGUCUGACUACGAUAAAAUCAGUGAGUGGCGGAAUUCAGUAAUCAGGAGAUUGCAGGUUCGACCCCUGCGGUGGUCA